rnacentral:rRNA from 1 species
AUGAACGCUGGCGGCGUGCCUAAUACAUGCAAGUCGAACGAGUUCUCCCUAAAUCUUUUGAUGCUUGCAUUAAAAGAUUUAGGAUUCGGAACGAGUGGCGAACUGGUGAGUAACACGUGGGUAACCUGCCCUGAAGUGGGGGAUAACAUUUGGAAACAGAUGCUAAUACCGCAUAGAUCCAAGAACCGCAUGGUUCUUGGCUGAAAGAUGGCGUAAGCUAUCGCUUUUGGAUGGACCCGCGGCGUAUUAGCUAGUUGGUGAGGUAAUGGCUCACCAAGGCGAUGAUACGUAGCCGAACUGAGAGGUUGAUCGGCCACAUUGGGACUGAGACACGGCCCAAACUCCUACGGGAGCAGCAGUAGGGAAUCUUCCACAAUGGACGCAAGUCUGAUGGAGCAACGCCGCGUGAGUGAAA